UGGAAAGGGAGGGAAGGAACUCAGGGGGUUUAGGGACAAGGAAAAGACAGCCUAGCCUGGGGGAACACCUGCGGGCUCCUGAGGCCUGGUAGAUGGAUUUAGAAGGACACAAAAGGGUCACUGGGCAGCUUUGCAGAGAGCUCAGCGUGGUGCUUGUCACUCCUCGUUUAUGUGGUUGCUCCAUUUACAUUCCCCCAGUGGUCCAGGCAGCUGCAGAGGCUGCUGGGUCUCUCUCACUGCUCGGGAACAAGGUGAAGUCAAAUGGAAAAGCUCUGAAGGAGAGGAGCAGGACAGCUUGGUGCACCAGUGGAGUGCAGGAAGAUGAAGAAGCUCAUCCCUGUGGACCUUUCUCUUGAAUGCCUACUAUGAGUCACUCAGCAAGAGAGGCACCCAGCUCCCUCAAGGUCUGCAGUGCCUCGGAGGUAUUCAUACUGAGCUUUCAUCCCCCAGGUCGGUGAUGUUUAGGAUGAUGAGGGUGGUCUGAGUUCACGGGCACCAGAACAGCCUCAGGCUGGCUGGAAGCCAGGUGUAACACUGGGCAGAGGGAUGCCACUCACCUUUCCUCUGGGCUGGGUCCCCCCGGGCAUUAUUUAUAUGACUCCGCACACCUAAAGACCACCCUUUCUCCCUUUUCCUACGCAAAUCUUGUACAUUCUUCCAGGCCCACUUCCCUCCAUGACACAGUCUCUGAACAUAUUAUUCCUCACGGAUGAUCACCUUCUUAACUCCAUCCAGACGUGUGCCUCUGUCUCACUAUUUAGCGUUGUCCUAGAAAAUACUGAGUAAUUGUUUCAUGCGUAUACAUCAUGUUUCCUCAAGUAGAAUCUACCUUUAUACAAUCAAAAGUGUCAGAUUGAUGGAUGAGUAGCAGGUAAAUUUCUGAUAAAGAGAAUUAAAUUAAGUGUUAAUUGUAGAAUCUAGUGAUGGGUUUAUGGGUCUUAACUGUAAAAAUCUUUCAUCUUUUCUGUAUGUUUGAUAACUUUCAUAUAAAAAUAAUAAAAACUUUAGUUUAUCUUCUAUGUAAUUACAUGUUUACUUAAC
rnacentral:lncRNA from 1 species